CUCAGUAGCUCAGUUGGUAGAGCAAAGGACUGAAAAUCCUUGUGUCGGCGGUUCGAUUCCGUCCUGAGCCACCA
rnacentral:tRNA from 1 species